UACGGGGGGGGCAAGCGUUGUUCGGAAUUACUGGGCGUAAAGGGCGCGUAGGCGGCCCGCUAAGUCGAACGUGAAAUCCCCAGGCUCAACCUGGGAACUGCGUCCGAUACUGGCAGGCUUGAAUCCGGGAGAGGGAUGUGGAAUUCCAGGUGUAGCGGUGAAAUGCGUAGAUAUCUGGAGGAACACCGGUGGCGAAGGCGGCAUCCUGGACCGGCAUUGACGCUGAGGCGCGAAAGCUAGGGGAGCAAACGGG
rnacentral:rRNA from 1 species